GUCCUGCUGCACCUGUGCGUGGCUUGCACCUGCACAUGGCGCCAGGGUCAGGCUGCAGGGCCAGAGCACGUGCUUGGCAUAACUGGGGCCUAAUGCUCCCCGUCUCACCCCCUUUAAACCCUUAGCCACAUGG